UACGGGGGGGGCGAGCGUUGUUCGGAAUUACUGGGCGUAAAGGGCGCGUAGGUGGCCUGUUAAGUCGAACGUGGAAUCCCCGGGCUCAACCCGGGAACUGCGUCCGAGACUGGCAGGCUCGAAUCCGGGAGAGGGAUGUGGAAUUCCAGGUGUAGCGGUGAAAUGCGCAGAUAUCAGGAGGAACACCGGUGGCGAAGGCGGGUCUCUGGGCCGAUACUGACGCCGAGGAGCGAAAGCGUGGGGAGCGAACAGG
rnacentral:rRNA from 1 species